rnacentral:rRNA from 1 species
AUAGCGUAUAUUAAAGUUGUUGCAGUUAAAAAGCUCGUAGUUGAAUUUUGGACCUGGCUGGGUGGUCUUGCCGAAAGGUAAGCACUGCUCUGGUCGGGUCUUUCCUUCUGGAGAACCAGCGUGCUCUUAACUGGGUGCGCUGGGGAUCCAGGACUUUUACUUUGAAAAAAUUAGAGUGUUUAAAGCAGGCCUACGCUUGAAUACAUUAGCAUGGAAUAAUAGAAUAGGACUUUGGUUCUAUUUUGUUGGUUUCUAGGACCGAAGUAAUGAUUAAUAGGGAUAGUUGGGGGCAUUAGUAUUUAAUUGUCAGAGGUGAAAUUCUUAGAUUUAUGAAAGACUAACUUCUG